UUCGAUAUAUAUGAAAUAUUUCCUUGAUUAUAUAUCAUGUACCUACCUAUUGGCACUCUCACUGUGUCGUGUAGUCUUCCUGCUAGCUGAAUGCGUUCUUGGCAUCAGCUACUGACUGCGAUAUGGGCGACUGUGUGUAAUAAAUGUCUUGAGGUUUUGUGAGAGGAUGGAUAAUAGUUGUUCAACUGUAAAAUUGUAAUCUUAUAAAUGUAUCAUAAUGUAAUCUAAACUUUCAUGGCGCAUUAGUUACACACUGUAGGUAAUGGUCAUGUAAACAUGUUUUAUCAGUAUAAUAAAUAUGUAACAUUUGAUUAAGUAGAUAUACUUAUGAUCCAUAGCCAAAAUGGUAAAAACUGUCUGUUUGUCUGUCCAUAUGUCAGCUAUUUUGCUCAAAAAACUAUAAUAUUUAAAUUAUAAUUUAUAAAUAAUUAACUAUUAUUUAUAAAUCAUAUUUUAAUGACGAAGAUAGGUUGCACUUCCCAGAAGUAGUGUAAAUUUUUAAAGGGUGUGGAUUUGUGGAAUGCAGCAACUAUGUGGUUCAAGCUUAUACAUGUAGGCUUUGGUAAUCACUUUAAAAACAUGCUACUGACAUCUUUUAUCUGUCCACGUCCAGCAUGUGGAGUAAUUAUUUUAUUCUUAGUUAGGCAUAUACAUAUUAGUUUUGACUAGUUUUACAACUGGUUAUACAAGCUUAUACCAAAAAAGAACCACCUUUCAAAUAUCAUGUAUUAACAACUAAGUGGUUUUAGAUCCUGUAUACUUGUAGGAACCUAUUGUUUAUUUUUUUAGUAAAUAGUAUUUGUAUGUGUGCAUGCGUAUGUGUGUGCUUAGAAACUUUGUUUCUUACAUUUGGAGUAGUUACAGUCGCUUAGUUUCAUGAUAGUUUUUUUCUUUUUUAUAUAAUUAUAUAUAUAUAUACUAAUACUACGUCGGUGGCAAACAAGCAUAUGGCCCGUCUGAUGGUAAACAGUUUCCGUAGCCUAUGUACUCCUGCAACUCCAGAGGAGUUACAUGCGCGUUGCCGUCCCUGACACUCUGCACCCUUGUUGAGCUCUAGUAGCCUUACUCACCAGCAGGAACACAACACUAUGAGUAGGGUCUAGUGUUACUUGGCUGCGGUUCUGUAAGGUAGAGGUACUUCCCCAAUUGGGCCCUGCUCUAGAUCUGGAAUGACAUUUGCUAUGCUGUGCUCUCUUUUUAUUUGUUUCUUGAAGCCAUUUUGGAAUUACUGUUUUUCAGUGAUGGUCAUUUUUUCCAUGUGUAUUAAGAUAGAUAGUUAGCCCCAUUACAUUACUUUUUUACAGCGGUUCUUAGGUAUAAGGGUUGGGUAUACAUUUGUAUAGUCCAUCUUAGGUGGUAAAUACAUAUUUGUCUAAACCUUGUGCAACAAUGUGAUUGUGUAACGAAAAUGGAGCCAGUACAGCUUGAUGGAUUUAAUUAUAUUAAUUAUAUAAUAAUAUUAAUUGGAAAAGUAUUAAGAUUAUAUAACAAAUUAUGCAAUUAACUUGAAAAUAUUCUUACGGGGUAAUUAAUUCAGGAAUAGAAUAGCAUGCUUCAUGAAGUAAGUAUUUACCUAAAAGUUAACUUUAUGAACGCAUCCUUCACCGGGCUGGUCACUGUAUAUCCUCGAACUCAUUGAUGAUUCAUGUCCACCUUUUAAGCCUAAAUUUGAAUUUGAACUUUUGGAUACUGGAAAAAGAGGGGAGGGAGUUACACAUUUUACCGCUACUUGUGUGUCUGUCUGUUGUAUUUAAAAGCAGAUUUUGUAGCACUAGGUAUUUCUUAGACAUGUUUUAUAAAAAUAUUCUUUAUUGUACACUUCAACACAGGAGGUAUUAAGCAACAGGUGGUCUUAUCCUUAAGAAGCUUGUUAUGCCGCUUAUACCCUCCAUCCAGAACGGAGUACCCGCCUUGCCUCCGGCUGGCCUACAAAUAGUAAACGUCGAGUCGUCGCCGCACCGCAUCCUUCGCUGCUUGCUGGUUUAAGAACUCAACGAUGCUGCAGGCUCCAGAUAUAAAACUGUCCUUCUCAGUACAAAUAUAACUGCCCUUUUCAGGGCAACAAACAGACAAACUGCUCUUCUCAGAGCAAUAUCUUCUUUAGCAACAGAGUGGUCAAAGCUUGGAAUAAACUCCCAGAGCAUAUAGUAUUAAUGAGUUUAAGAAUAAAUUAGAUACGCACAAUGCAAAUUCUACUCAACACUGAAAACUUUAUUGAUGACUCCGGAUACAGGCAUUAUCAGUUUUUUCAACUGCCUGCCUGCUUUACAAAUAAUAAUAAUAUUAAACUGUUCUUUUCAGAACAAAUGUCACUGUUUCUAUGUGAGAGUCAGAAUGGCGGGUGUACCUAAAUAAAAUCAAAUGAAAAGCAUACCAUAUUUUUGUACCUAAUUUGUACUAUUUAGUACCUCGUUUAAAAAAAAUUGUACCUCACGGUACGUAAAGUUAUGAUCAAAAAACAGGUCACCCGCCAUCCUGACAGUCAGAAUGGCGGGUGUACUUUAUUACGCUAUGUUCCCGUGGUUAUUGAUAAAUUCUAUAAAAGCCAAAUUUUUGUACCUUUUUUGUACCUUCAUAUUCAAUUAUAAUAUGAGUCAUUUUAUUUGUGCUUUCCAAGUUUUACUCAUUUUAUAUUUUGCUUGCUAUUACAAUUUUGCAGGCGUUAUAAUUUUUCAAGUUAUCGAUUUAAUUUUUAAGAAAAAACGCUAAGGUACAAUUAUUUUUAUUACGCCAGGAUUUAGUACCUUUAAUGUUUAAUCUGUUAAGUUCUAAUAGCUCAGAAAAUCAUGUCUUAAAAAUGAUUUUUCUUAGGAAGAUUUCUUUGAAUUGGCGCCUAGCCUUUUUUAAGACAUGAUUUACUGAGUUAUUUGAACUUAACAGAUUAAACAUUAAAGGUACUAAAUCCUGGCGUAAUAAAAAUAAUUGUACCUUAGCGUUUUUUCUUAAAAAUGAAAUCGAUAAUUUGAAAAAUUAUAACGCCUGCAAAAUUGUAAUAGCAAGCAAAAUAUAAAAUGAGUAAAACUUGGAAAGCACAAAUAAAAUGACUCGUAUUAUAAUUGAAUAUGAAGGUACAAAAAAGGUACAAAAAUUUGGCUUUUAUAGAAUUUAUCAAUAACCACGGGAACAUAGCGUAAUAAAGUACACCCGCCAUUCUGACUGUCAGGAUGGCGGGUGACCUGUUUUUUGGUGAUAACUUUAAGUACCGUGAGGUACAAUUUUUUUUAAACGAGGUACUAAAUAGUACAAAUUAGGUACAAAAAUAUGGUAUGGUUUUCAUUUAAUUUUAUUUAGGUACACCCGCCAUUCUGACUCUCACGUUUCUAUGACAACACAACUUACAAAAUGUUCUUUUCAGAACACUUGGUUCCUGUUUCUAUGUUUAUACACAGAUCUAUGCGUCUUUUUAGCGAUAACACCGUUUGUUGCUUCUACCAAAAUUGUUUAUGUUUCUAUACGGGUACCUGUACCUAUUGUAACCUUGUAAUGUGUGCAAUAAAAAGUAUCGUGUUACCCUCCUGUGUUGUCUUGUACUAUCGUAAUGUUACAAGUCUGGCUCUGUUUAGGAUUGCGUUUUGUGCAAAAUCAGCAAAAUUGUUUCCUUUGAAUACUUAUUAACAAUUUGUUUUAUGAAUAAAGUAAUUUUUAACUUAUUCCUUAUACUUGUGUCGCAUUCUUGGUUUCCAUGCGCUGCUCGUGAGGCUUGAGGCGGCUACCGCAGUCAACACGGAUGCGGCUUUGACGAGACGAGAGUACGCAUGCCGGAGGGGCCCGCGGGCCUGCUUAAAAUGUGAUGAUAGCCUGCGUGCUCUGCUACUCGCCAUCGUCAUCAUGCCAUCAGGCUCGCGGUGGCCACUGCGCUAUAACUGAUGUCGCUCUGACGAUAUAACGCCACGCACGAAUCGAUGUCCCGUUCGCGUACUGGAGCGCCGUGCGGACCCGCAACCUAUUUGAAGAUCGCCCACGUCGCCUGCGUGCGAUGCCGCUCGCGCUGUCAGGGAGGAGUCGAAAAUGAAGCGAUGCCAGCUCGCACAGAAAUGGCUAAAGCUUUAAAACUUGCAGGCUGCUUAGAAAGUCGCCUAAAACAUACUGGCAUAAAGCCCGUCUGCAAAAAGGUAAGACUUGUGUGUUAUUAACUUUUUUAUAUCUUUAUUUGAUUCAAAUAUUUUUAAAGGGAUAUUUGUAAUUAGAUGUAACUGCCAAUAGAAUGAUAAUGUCUCAUUAGAUGGAACUCAAUGAAAGAUUUAUUUCAACAUAUGCGAUAUACAGAGGGUCUACCGCGAAAAACGAAAAGCGUAAUUUCUAUAUCUGCCUCUCUAUCAUUAGAAUAUGCAAGAGCGAUAGAGAAUUUCGAUUUUUGCCUUUCGCGCCGCUUGUGUCUAAUGCCUGCAAUUUGUAAUUAUUAAACUGGCACAUGCAAAGUUUUCUGAGACGCAAGGGGUACCUAGUUAAAAGUGUAGAAGAAAGUGUUUGUAAUGGGUAUGCUAUGGUAACUACGUGGUAACUCUAACUACUUAUUUAUCAGGCGGGCUGGAUUAUAACCUGCUUUAUGUAUGGUGAUUUUAUUAAUAGUUAGAUUUAUAUUAGCUAGCGUGAGGAUUUAUCUGUUAAUAUUAAAAUAUAAUGGAGAUAAUCUAAGCUGAAUUGCGCUGUCUUAUCGUUGCUUCCGUUUAAAUGAAAUGGCAAACUAGGAGUGACCAUCAAGUCAUUGCUAAGCUACCUCCUGCUCCACUGUUUACUGAUUCAAGAAUGCGACGAUCGAUGCUGCAGGCUCCUGAUAUAGAAGGACAGCCUUCUCAGGACAAAUAAAACUGCCCUUUUCAGGGCAACAGACAAACUGCUCUUCUCAGAGCAAUAUGAAACUGUUCUUUUCAGAACAAAUGUCACUGUUUCUAUGACGACACAACUUCAAAAAUGUUCUUUUCAGAACACUUGGUUCCCUGUUUCAAUGACGACGCAACUUCAGAAAUGUUCUUUUCAGAAUGUCUUCUCAACCAGUAAGCAGCGGAGCAGGACGUAGGUAGCAAUGACUUGAUGGUGACUCCUACUCCGCCAUUUCAUUUAAACGAGAGCAACGAUAAGACUUUCAGCUUAGAUUAUAGAAUGUAACAAGUCGGCCGAAGACCUCUAUUUUUAAUCAAAACCCUCAAUAUUAGUUCUGCCUAUUCUAAUAAAUUACUCUUAUGUAUAUUUUAUCCUACUGUCCAUAAAUGUUACAAGUCGCGCUCUAUUUGGGAUUGUUUGAUUUUCUAUGAAUACUUAUACUUGUGACAUAUUCUUGCUUCCCAUGCGCUGCUCGUGAGGCUCGCGGCUACCAUGAAGCGGGUGUGGAUCUGACGAAAGAGCGCGCAAGUGCAGCUAUCUCCCGUCCGCAUCCCGGAGCGGCGCGCGGACCCGCAUCCAAUGCGAUGAUCGCUUGCGUUGCUUGCGUGCUCUGCUGCUCGCCAUCGUCACCAUGCUGUUGAGGACCGGUCCGCGACGGUGGCGCCAUCGCUCGUCUCGGGCUCGCGUGAAAGCUGCUCGGCGCUGCUCUUGCUCCGUGCCUCACUGCAGUGGCACAUCUAUGAUGCUGUCAAGGUACAUCGUUUGCGGCCACCGUCGAGACAGCAGGGCUCCGCGCUCGAGGGUCCACGCCGAAGGCAAGCCUCACUAACAAUUGCGAUCAUGUUAUUUAACGUUUAAAGCCCUGCGAUCUUUGUAUUAGACUGAUGCUUGGCUUGUGAUGUAUCGUUACGUAACUAUUAAUAAUCUUAUAAUAUUACAAUAAAGAUUUUGUUUUAUCUUGCACUUUGAAAAGACUUAUAUAUGUACAUAUGUAUAUCAGUGUCAUUAUAAAUGCGGAGUUAGCUUGGUCUAUUUUCUCUAGAUCAUUAAUUUUGUUAUUAACAUUUUUGCCUGUGCGUAAUCGCAAUUUGAAUAAUAAGACUAGUAAAUAGUAUAAAGUAAUAUUAUAGCCGCAGUUUAGGUAGUAAUAGGUUGUAUAUGUCGAUGUAGAGCCCAACAUUUACUUUGUAGUACUUUAUGCCUCUUGGAUUGGCACUUGUACAUAAUAAAGUCGGCUUUGUAUUUUUAUGAUUGCUUAUCACAACUGUAAACAACAUGAACGUGAUAUUUUAUAUCCCAAAUACUACACAGUUUAAUUGGCUAAUUUGCUACCCAAUCAUGAUUUAUCGAAUUGUUGUGCAAGCUUUUAUUUAACUACCAAGUUGGUUAGUAUGGGUCAAAUCUUAGACGCAAAAUGUAACCCACUUCCCGAUUUCCGAGGGAGUCGAUCUGAUGAUGAAGACAAGAGAUAAUGGCCAUGGGAACUCUGUGAUAAAAUAUAAUUAUAAAAUGACUAGAGCCAAUCGCCGAUCAGUUUUUAGGGUUCCGUAGCCAAAUGGCAAAAAACGGAACCCUUAUAGAUUCGUCAUGUCCGUCUGUCUGUCCGAUUCUGUCACAGCGACUUUUUUCCGAAACUAUAAGAGCUAUACUGUUCAAACUUAGUAAGUGGAUGUAUUCUAUGAACCGCAUUAAGAUGUUCACACAAAAAUAGAAAAAAAACAAUAAAUUUUGGGGGUUCGCCAUACUUAGAACUGAAAUUCAAAAAAUCUUUUUUCAUCAAACCCAUACGUGUGGGGUAUCUAUGGAUAGGUCUUCAAAAAUGAUAUUUAGGUUCCUAAUAUCAUUUUUUUAUAAACUGAAUAGUUUGCGCGAGAGACACUUCUAAAGUGAAAAAAUGUGUCCCCCCCCCCUGUAACUUCUAAAAUAACAGAAUGAAAAAUCUAAAAAAAAUAUAUGAUAUACAUUACCAUGCAAACUUCCACCGAAAAUUGGUUUGAACGAGAUCUAGUGAGUAGUUUUUUUUUAAUACGUCAUAAAAUUAAAAAAAAAUUUUUUUCAUCAAACCCAUACGUGUGGGGUAUCUAUGGAUAGGUCUUCAAAAAUGAUAUUUAGGUUCCUAAUAUCAUUUUUAUCUAAACUGAACAGUUUGCGCGAGAGACACUUCCAAAGUGGUAAAAUGUGUGUCCAAAGUGGUAAAAUGUUGAACAAGAUCUAGCAAGUAGAUUUUUUUUAAUACGCCUCAAAUGGUACGGAACCCUUCAUGCGCGAGUCCGACUCGCACUUGGCCGCUUUUUAAUAAUAUAUAUACUCGUGUAUAUAUAAUUUAUAAUUAUUAAUUACUGUUUACUGUGACAUAAACGCAUAUUGUUUGUGUCAGCGCACCCUAACGUGUGUGUAUA